UACGUAGGGUGCAAGCGUUGUCCGGAAUUAUUGGGCGUAAAGAGCUCGUAGGCGGUUUGUUGCGUCGGCUGUGAAAUCCCGAGGCUCAACCUCGGGUCUGCAGUCGAUACGAGCAAACUAGAGUGUUGCAGGGGAGACUGGAAUUCCUGGUGUAGCGGUGAAAUGCGCAGAUAUCAGGAGGAACACCGGUGGCGAAGGCGGUGGUCUGGGCCGGAACUGACGCUGAAGCGCGAAAGCUAGGGGAGCGAACGGG
rnacentral:rRNA from 1 species